rnacentral:rRNA from 1 species
GGACUACCGGGGUUUCUAAUCCCGUUCGAUUCCCACGCUUUCGUGUUUCAGCGUCAGGUAUGCGCCAGUAUAUUGCCUUCGCUUUUGGUGUUCCCCAUGAUAUCAACGGAUUUCACCCCUACACCAUGAGUUCCAUAUACCUCUCGCAACCUCUAAGUCGUACCGUUUCUCCCGCGUUUUCUUGGUUAAGCCAAGAAGCUUUCACGAAAGACUAAUACGACCGCCUACACACCCUUUACGCCCAGUGAUUCCGGAUAAUGCUCGGGGCCUCUGUAUUACCGCGGCUGCUGGCAC